UUUCCAUUUUAGUCUGAUUCUCCACCAUGCAGCGCCCGGGACUCUGGUGGGAAUGGCACCUUCGAUCAGAAUGGAUGUAACACCCUCAUGAGCGGACCGGGGAAGAGAGUGGAUACGAUCACUUGCAGAUGUGACCGUCUGGGUUUCUUCUUUGUACUAACACUGGAAUCGAAGGAUGCAGGUGUUGCUGGAUGGGCCAACAAUAGUUCCCUGUCCCUCAUUGCUCUGGAGAAGCUGGUUGUGUGCUGCCUACCUGAAC